GGUUAUAGUAGGUAGGAGGAAUGGGUCAUGCUGGAUGGUAAUCCCCAAACAUCCAUUACAGUGCUCAUUUUACACAUGAAGCAACAGAAAACUAGAGAGGUUUCUUGACUCGGAAUCACACAAUGAGCUAAGUGGGAGAGAGAGAAAGUACACCCCAAACUCACUGUCUUAAAGAGCCUUGUGAAACUAACUCCCAACCAACACUGAACAAAUGCUAUUGUGUCUUUUCAUACUUCCAAAGUUUCUGGGGGGGAAAUAAAGGACAGAAACACUCUAUAGGUAUGUGAGGGAAAGUAAAUUACCUGCAAGGCCCUCCAUUCCUUAGGAGCAGGAUCCAGGAUUUUCAAGAACAAACAGCAAAGAAAAGAAAAGUCCCAAGAACCCAGUGCAUAGACUAAAUGGGUCAUCGCAGCCAGACAGAGCAACCCAGGGUGCCGGGAAUGGGAAACAAAAGAGAAAGUACUACUUGGGCCUGGGGCAGCCUCCAGACUUGAGGGAGAAGGCUGGGGGGUAGGGGGGGGGGGCAGGACUGCCUUUUCUCUGUUCUGAAUCCUUUGCUAGGCCAUUUGCAUCUCAUUGNUUCUCUGUUCAAUCCUUUGCUAGGCCAUUUGCAUCUCAUUGUGGUCCUGGAUGAUUUAAGGAGCCCAGUGAAAGCCCUUGGAUGUGGUUAGGACGUUCAUGCUCCAGUGAUAAAUAAUGUGACCAAUGUGUAUGGCCUAGAGUCACUGCAUUAUCAAAGGGCUCCAUGGAAACGCGGGAAAUGCCAGGGCUUCUUUUCCUGCUUCUGCUUGUUUUCUUUCUUUAUUUAUUUAAUCUACUUGAUGAAUUGAUUUCUUGUCCCUUUCCAAGUGUUUAAUACCAUCCUAGGAACUGACACCCUUCCCGUUGUUGGCAUGUGAUCUCUUCAAUCCUGCAGUUCCACCAGAGCUUUGAUCAGCAGUCAGAGUUGAAAGAAGAGGAUGAAGGAGACCAGGCCCCUUGCCCAUCCCUCUCCCUCUGCCACCCUCUCCAGACACUUUUUUUUCUUUAUCAAAAGAAAUCUCCUGGUUGACUUCAAAGGCAGCUCUGCAUCCAGAGAGAUAAUACUGAUAGAAGGAGAGAGACGAUGGAGCGGUUAUUUCCAUGGAGUAAGAUUGGAUGCCAUCUUUAGGUUUCUUCUCUGCAUUUUGCUGUGUUGAGUGAUUUAUUUUCAUCAUUAUCAUGUAACAUUCUACAAAAUCUGUUAUUCAAGUGCUGGAUUGGAACAAAGAAAGAAUGGCUGGUGCCUUCUCCUACUUCUCAGACUCCUUUCUGACCAGCUAGCAGGGGCAUGAGGGAAUGAGCAUGGUUGUCAGGGUGCGAAAUGUCCUAUCUGUGCAUUAUCUCUGGAAUUAUUUUCUAUCUGCACCAAAAUAUGAAUUUCCUAACAACUCAAGUUAUCAACUCCCCCUUGGAAGCAUCUAUCAGUUCUGGAAAAAUGAAUGUCUAAAGUAAAUUGCAGGAAUCUAGAAUGAACAUAAAUAUUCAAAGAUGGGGGCAGUGGAAUGAUUUCCAUUUCCUCACCUGGAAUCCCUACCUUCUGAGUCAGCCAUCCAGGGAACAAGGCAAAAAUAGUGACAAAUACUUUGCAACCCCCUAAGGACCAAAUCCUUU
ensembl:lncRNA